CUCACUUCAUGCCUGCCUGUUGAGGUGCGGGCUAAUGCCCUUUGCCAAAGGUGCCAUAUGGUCUUUUUUUUUCCCUUUUUCCUUACCUCCUGCUGCUUUUUAAAGCCUCAAACACCUUUUGGAAAAGAUAAUGAGCUCUGUCAAGAAGCAAAAAGAGACUGCUCCUUUUUGCUCCCUCAUACCUCCAACUCCAAAAUUGCAGAUCUGCCUCCUGGGGGCAUAAUUUGGGCAGAGUUUUGCAGUCACCUGGGGGUAAUCUUCUAACCAUCUCUAAGAAAAUAAGGAACUGUCUGAUAACCACUCAACACCUGAUGGUCAACUGUACUGAUUUGAUGAAAAGACUCGCCAGGUCAUGAUUUGAGCAACUCCCGGAGCUCCUUUGUCCUUGAAACCUUUGACUGGGCCAACCAAGUCCUGAGUAUGUUUACUAAAUAUUUAACAUAUUUAAAUUGUAUUCUCUCU